GGUUGGACUUGAGCUAAUAUUGCGCCGAUCUUCCCGUACAGCGAUAUAACGAUUGAGACGUAAAUCAAACACUCCAUCAGCAUAACUGACUAACGGUCCACCAUAAUCUGGAGUAAGGGGUCGGGGAGAAGAAUCAUGGGGUUUAACUGAUUGCUUAUAUAAUCUCUGGUCCUCGAAAUUAGAGAAGACUACAGUGUCCCCAGAUACCAUGAAAGCACCACCACCGUACUCAUGUGCAGUGGUCCGAACUGAGAACUCCUUUGGAGUAAUAUCAAUAAUCUCAUCGCCCAGCUUCAUCGGUUCCUUGACAAGAACUUCCCGCCCAGAUUCAGACGGCCGUGAUUCAAGCCAGAUAAGGCGACCAGAACCAUCAACGGCAGCACCUCCGAUUCGUUUGGAGGCGCCGGACACAACGUCAGCGGUGAUCGGAGACUUCCAUGAGCCAUAGGGUGCGGUGAUUUUCUCCUGUUGAUUAACUACUUGGGGGAAUUCCUUGCUAACUGAAGAUGAGACAGAGGAAGCCAUUGUUCUUAGACCGGUGAUACAGUCGGUAUCGCCUAUGGGUGCGAUUAGGAACUAGAUGAGAGAAGUUAGCGACGGCCACGUGAACAUUGACAGUAGUAUAUUUUUUUACAACAGCCGGGUGGA
rnacentral:misc_RNA from 1 species